UCUGAUGUUAGCGGCGGACGGGUGAGUAACACGUGGAUAACCUACCUAUAAGACUGGGAUAACUUCGGGAAACCGGAGCUAAUACCGGAUAAUAUUUUGAACCGCAUGGUUCAAAAGUGAAAGACGGUCUUGCUGUCACUUAUAGAUGGAUCCGCGCUGCAUUAGCUAGUUGGUAAGGUAACGGCUUACCAAGGCAACGAUGCAUAGCCGACCUGAGAGGGUGAUCGGCCACACUGGAACUGAGACACGGUCCAGACUCCUACGGGAGGCAGCAGUAGGGAAUCUUCCGCAAUGGGCGAAAGCCUGACGGAGCAACGCCGCGUGAGUGAUGAAGGUCUUCGGAUCGUAAAACUCUGUUAUUAGGGAAGAACAUAUGUGUAAGUAACUGUGCACAUCUUGACGGUACCUAAUCAGAAAGCCACGGCUAACUACGUGCCAGCAGCCGCGGUAAUACGUAGGUGGCAAGCGUUAUCCGGAAUUAUUGGGCGUAAAGCGCGCGUAGGCGGUUUUUUAAGUCUGAUGUGAAAGCCCACGGCUCAACCGUGGAGGGUCAUUGGAAACUGGAAAACUUGAGUGCAGAAGAGGAAAGUGGAAUUCCAUGUGUAGCGGUGAAAUGCGCAGAGAUAUGGAGGAACACCAGUGGCGAAGGCGACUUUCUGGUCUGUAACUGACGCUGAUGUGCGAAAGCGUGGGGAUCAAACAGGAUUAGAUACCCUGGUAGUCCACGCCGUAAACGAUGAGUGCUAAGUGUUAGGGGGUUUCCGCCCCUUAGUGCUGCAGCUAACGCAUUAAGCACUCCGCCUGGGGAGUACGACCGCAAGGUUGAAACUCAAAGGAAUUGACGGGGACCCGCACAAGCGGUGGAGCAUGUGGUUUAAUUCGAAGCAACGCGAAGAACCUUACCAAAUCUUGACAUCCUUUGACAACUCUAGAGAUAGAGCCUUCCCCUUCGGGGGACAAAGUGACAGGUGGUGCAUGGUUGUCGUCAGCUCGUGUCGUGAGAUGUUGGGUUAAGUCCCGCAACGAGCGCAACCCUUAAGCUUAGUUGCCAUCAUUAAGUUGGGCACUCUAAGUUGACUGCCGGUGACAAACCGGAGGAAGGUGGGGAUGACGUCAAAUCAUCAUGCCCCUUAUGAUUUGGGCUACACACGUGCUACAAUGGACAAUACAAAGGGCAGCGAAACCGCGAGGUCAAGCAAAUCCCAUAAAGUUGUUCUCAGUUCGGAUUGUAGUCUGCAACUCGACUACAUGAAGCUGGAAUCGCUAGUAAUCGUAGAUCAGCAUGCUACGGUGAAUACGUUCCCGGGUCUUGUACACACCGCCCGUCACACCACGAGAGUUUGUAACACCCGAAGCCGGUGGAGUAACCUUUUAGGAGCUAGCCGUCGAAGGUGGGACAAAUGAUUGGGGUGAAGUCGUA
rnacentral:rRNA from 1 species